rnacentral:rRNA from 1 species
AUUGAACGCUGGCGGCAGGCCUAACACAUGCAAGUCGAACGGUAACAGGAAGAAGCUUGCUUCUUUGCUGACGAGUGGCGGACGGGUGAGCAAUGUCUGGGAAACUGCCUGAUGGAGGGGGAUAACUACUGGAAACGGUAGCUAAUACCGCAUAACGUCGCAAGACCAAAGAGGGGGACCUUCGGGCCUCUUGCCAUCGGAUGUGCCCAGAUGGGAUUAGCUAGUAGGUGGGGUAACGGCUCACCUAGGCGACGAUCCCUAGCUGGUCUGAGAGGAUGACCAGCCACACUGGAACUGAGACACGGUCCAGACUCCUACGGGAGGCAGCAGUGGGGAAUAUUGCACAAUGGGCGCAAGCCUGAUGCAGCCAUGCCGCGUGUAUGAAGAAGGCCUUCGGGUUGUAAAGUACUUUCAGCGGGGAGGAAGGGAGUAAAGUUAAUACCUUUGCUCAUUGACGUUACCCGCAGAAGAAGCACCGGCUAACUCCGUG